rnacentral:rRNA from 1 species
CCCUUAGAUGUCCUGGGCCGCACGCGCGCUACACUGAGUGUCUGAGAUACGAGUCUGCCUGGUCCGGCAAGGUCUAGGUAAUCGCUAAAAGACACAUCAUGCUUGGGAUAGAUUAUUGCAAAUAUUAAUCUUGAACGAGGAAUUCCUAGUAGGCGCAAGUCAACAGCUUGCGUUGAUUACGUCCCUGCCCUUUGUACACACCGCCCGUCGCUACUACUGAUUGGAUGUUUAAGCGAGGUUCUCGAACUGCUAGCGACUUAGCUUCGGUGAGGUCGCAGUGUGGGAAGUGAACCUAGCUUUGGUGUCUAGAGGAAGUAAAAGUCGUAACA